UCAGUAAAAUGUUCCGUAGACCUGCCU
rnacentral:piRNA from 1 species